rnacentral:lncRNA from 1 species
UUUUUUCUUCUUUUGUUUGAGACAAUAAUACCAAUGCAAAUAUAAGGUAAAAGUCCGAGUCAGCCUUUCCCGCCACAUUUACAAUCUCAAAUAUCUUGAAAAGGCGGUCCAUGACCUAACAAUAUUUUUAGCUUAUUUUAAUCUUUAAUUAAUGCUCUACCAGCUUAUAGUAUCAAUUUUAACUUCUUAAUUUAUUAAUUUUCACCUAACCUCACCUAAGUACAUCCUUAAAUUUUAAGCCUAUUUUCUACAUGUUCUCUUUACAGUAAGUCUUAUUUUAUCAAGUACUGUGGAUUCAUUAUUAUUCGUUGGAUACCAAUUUUCGUGGCUUUAGUGGGUAUAGGUGAACCACGAAAUUAAAUGUUUAACGAAUAAAACGUUUUCAAUGCAGACUUCAGCAAAACCAUGAAAUCAAUUAUCCACGAAAACAUGCAAGUUAUCCUUAAUCCACGAAAACAUGCAAGUUAUCCUUAAUCCACGAAAACAUGCAAGUUAUCCUUAAUCCACGAAAAGUCAUACCCACGAAAAUAAAUGAAUCCACAGUAACAAUUAUUAACUAGGAAAUACUACAAACUAUUCAAAAACUUCGUUUAAAUUUUAUUGUCUUCAGUAUAAUUAGUUUAAUUUUAAUUUUGGCACCAAUAUGAGACUAUGAUUGUCCUUUUCACUUCAUAAAACUUUUAUUUUAAAAAUUUCUAACACUAACAAAUGUGAAAAUGUACAUUAAAAUUUAUAUUUACAAUAAUCAGAAUUUUAACUAUUAAGUAGAGCAUAUGAUUAAAGCAUAUACAGGGUUCUCGCUAAGGCGAGUCCAUGAGUCCUGGACUCAUCAAAAUCUGUCUGGACUCACCAUUUUCAAACUGGUGAUCCACAGAUGCAUCAAGAUUAAAAUAUUUUGUAUAAACUGAACACAGUUAAACACAAAUAUGAAAUAUCAUCAUUUUACAGCAAAAGUUAAAAGUAAUCUGAAUUUAAUGUCAUUCUAUUGCUCUGUUAGACUAAAAUAUUACAUUAUAUUUCAAUAAAAUAUCUUCUUCUUGCUGUUAGACUCACCGAGGCCAAAAAUGACAAGUCCCUGGACUCGCCCAUAAAUCCUUAGCAAGAUCCCUGAUAUAUAGAUGUGUGAUAAAUGGUUAUUUGGCAAUUUUUUCUUCCACAAUAUAACAAUCUAUACAAAACUAACUUUAACCCUACACCUAAGCCUAUAACUAUAUCUUUUAAACUCUUACACAAUUCUAACCUUUAACCUAAAACAACCCCUGACCUACUAGGUAUUGCUUACUGUUAAGUGAACCCUAAUCUGACAUCAUAGAUGCCAUUUUAAAGUUUGAAUUUAGCAAGAAUCUAUAGGAUAUAUUUGUCAAAUAAAACAUCUGUUUAACAGUACAUAUUUUGAUUAAUUUAAACACAUACAAUAUGCUUUCAGCACUUGCUUUCAUAUACUUUUGACACAAGUAUCACCAUGGCUACAACUUGUUCUUCUUUCACAAUGGUUAUUGAAUUUGUUAGGAUGUAUCACGAUAGUAAGUUUUUCUGUACAUAUGUUGUAUUUCUUCCACCAAUAAAUAGACUCUAAAAAUCCCAUCCCUUCCACAAUUGUUAUGUCUGAGGAUUUAUACUUAUAAAACCCUGUAAAUUAUCUCCUCUGCAGGUUCAUUCUAAGUAAACCCUGUAAAUUAUCUCCUCUGCAGGUUCAUUCUAAGUAAGAAUAUGUUACUUAUGGACAAAGUGUGACUUAAACAUCAAUGAGACAGCUACUCAAAGAUACUUUUUUUCUUUCUAAUGUAAGUUUGCUUUAAAAUACGGAAUCAAGAAGGACAAUAAGUUUUUUAAGCGAUACACUAUUCUUACAUUUCUUUUGUUCAUAUUACAUUCAAUUAUAUCUAAUCAGUCAACAAAAUGUAAAUUAAAACAAAAUUUUAAUGAGAUGCUAGGAUUACUAGAUUAC